AAAAAAAUCAUUUUACAUUAAAAAAACCGCUCCGUUUUAUCCCCAAAUUGAAAUAGAGCAGAUUCCUAGUUCUUUUUUUCAAGAACUUUUUUGCGACCUUUCCGUGGCUUGUUUUAGGGAAAAAAGUGAUUUCUCAUUUUAUUUUCUUAUUAAUCUAGAUGGCACAACAUGCAUCUGCGCAAGGUGAAACUGGAAUGCUUGUUUUCGACGUGCAUUCAACAAUGGACAUGAGCAUUCAACGUGUACCUUGAGAAAAAAAAAUCAAAUCGCUUGAUCUUUUCGUGUUCUAGAUUUCUAGUCAUGGCGGAUCGCGCGUCCUACAAUUUGGCUCCUCAAUUAGAUAUUGAACAGAUUUUACUAGAAGCGCAGCAUAGAUGGUUAAGACCUGCUGAAAUUUGUGAAAUUCUUCGUAAUUAUAAGAAGUUCCAUAUUACGUCAGAGCCUCCUACCAGACCUCCAAGCUAUGUGCUACUCUAUUACCAUGCCUGUGGAUGAAUACAGACUCAAAUAAGGGCAUCAAUGCCCAUGUCCCAUUUAUAAAGAUGCCAACAUAGGACAGGUCCAUAAUGUUGCUCCGAAGCCUGGAAAUGAUGCCAGUAGACCAGAUCUGCUUGAUGCUGCAUUACUAAGACUAAGUAGGCUUGAUCGCCUCCGUUUCUGUGAUUUUCCAUCUCCGCGUGAAAGGUUGGAUAUUCUGACCUUUCUUUCAAGAAAGGGGAAUCUACCAGUCGUAUUGCAGGUCUCUUUUUGAGGAUCCUUUGCUGGAAUGCUUUGAGCUUGUUGAUUUCAAUUUUCAAGAGGAGUUUGGUCGAAGCAUGGGUGAAAUUUUUCAGAAAUUUGAUGUAAAUCAUCUUGGUUCUGCAUCAAUUGCACAGGUUUAACAGUUUUGCGGGGCUCUCGGAUUCCGGAAAUAAGAUAAGUGGAUAUACCUAAACAUAUGUUCGUAUCUGAAUUAGGCUCAUCAAGCAGGAUUGAGAGGUGAUAAGAUUGAUGUUGUUGUUAAGGUGGAAAAAUAGAUAUCUAUAUUCACACUGAUGUUCCUUGCAAAACACAUCUAUCCUUCUUUUAUGUAUUUUUCAGAUUAUGUAAAUUGAGAAUAUCGUUCCACUUGGAUUUGGAUUUCUUUUUUCUUCUGCAUGUUAUUAAUUAUUUAUCUUUUGUGUUAUCAAGA